rnacentral:rRNA from 1 species
UACGUAGGUGGCAAGCGUUGUCCGGAUUUAUUGGGUUUAAAGGGUGCGUAGGCGGUCUUUUAAGUCAGUGCUGAAAUACUCCAGCUUAACUGGAGGGGUGGCAUUGAUACUGGAGACUUGAGUAUAGUUGAGGUAGGCGGAAUUGACGGUGUAGCGGUGAAAUGCUUAGAUAUCGUCAAGAACACCGAUAGUGAAGACAGCUUACUAAACUAUAACUGACGCUGAGGCACGAAAGCUAGGGGAGCGAACGGG